AUUGAACGCUGGCGGCAGGCCUAACACAUGCAAGUCGAGCGAGCGGCGGACGGGUGAGUAAUGUCUGGGAAACUGCCUGAUGGAGGGGGAUAACUACUGUAAACGGUAGCUAAUACCGCAUACCAUCAGAUAUGCCCAGAUGGGGGUAUCUAGUAGGUGGGGUAACGGCUCACCUAGGCGACGAUCCCUAGCUGGUCUGAGAGGAUGAUCCGACACCAUGGGACUGAGACACGGCCCAGACUCCUACGGGAGGCAGCAGUGGGGAAUUUUGGACAAUGGGCGCAAGCCUGAUCCAGCCAUGCCGCGUGUCUGAAGAAGGCCUUCGGGUUGUGAAGGACUUUUGUCAGGGAAGCGGUACCUGAAGAAUAAGCACCGGCUAACUACGUGCCAGCAGCCGCGGUAAUUC
rnacentral:rRNA from 1 species